rnacentral:rRNA from 1 species
AUGGCGCUAGCGGCUAACGCCCAUGGAAGAGUCUGCACCCUCUCCUCCAGGCCGCCAACACCUUUCGGCAGCAGGAGCAUGGUCACCAUGCCUGGACACCACGUCCAAGCUCGGUUCGCGGUCCGGGCGACCGCGGAGCGCGCGACAUGGCUGCCGGGGCUGGACCCGCCGGCGUACCUCGACGGCACGCUGCCUGGUGACUACGGGUUUGAUCCCCUGGGGCUCGGGGAGCAGCCUGAGGACUUGAAGUGGUACGUCCAGGCGGAGCUCGUGCACUGCCGGUUCGCCAUGGCAGGGGUUGCCGGCAUCCUUGGAACCGAUUUGAUCCGUGUAUCAGGACUCGGCAACCUACCCGUGUGGUUUGAAGCAGGUGCCACGAAAUUUGACUUUGCCAACACCACAGCACUCUUCUUUGUCCAGCUUCUCUUGAUGGGAUUUGUCGAAACCAAGAGGUACAUGGACUUCGUUAAUCCAGGAUCACAAGCAAAGGAAGGGACAUUCCUUGGGAUAGAAGCUUCACUCGAAGGUUUACAGCCAGGAUACCCUGGGGGGCCACUAUUUAACCCAAUGGGACUCGCCAAAGAUAUAGAGAAUGCGAAUGAAGUGAAGCUGAAAGAAAUAAAGAAUGGGAGGUUGGCAAUGGUUGCUAUGCUUGGAUUUAUUGUGCAAGCGUCUGUGACUCAUGCUGGGCCCAUCGAGAAUCUUUUGACACAUCUUUCAGACCCGUUCAACAAAAAUAUCAUUCAUGCACUAACCUUGUCUUGA